GGCCUGGUGGUCUAGUAGUAUGAUUCCUUCUUAGGGCGUGCCUCGCAAUUUGGAGGAGGUCCCGGGUUCAAUUCCCGGCCAGGCCC